rnacentral:rRNA from 1 species
ACGAACGCUGGCGGCGUGCUUAACACAUGCCAGUCGAGCGGUAAGGCCCCUUCGGGGGUACACGAGCGGCGAACGGGUGAGUAACACGUGAGCAAUCUGCCCAUCACAUCGGGAUAACUCCGGGAAACCGAAGCUAAUACCGAAUACGACCACCUCCGGCAUCGGAUGGUGGUGGAAAGUUCCGGCGGUGAUGGAUGAGCUCGCGGCCUAUCAGCUUGUUGGUGGGGUAACGGCCCACCAAGGCUUCGACGGGUAGCCGGCCUGAGAGGGUGACCGGCCACACUGGGACUGAGACACGGCCCAGACUCCUACGGGAGGCAGCAGUGGGGAAUAUUGGACAAUGGGCGAAAGCCUGAUCCAGCAACGCCGCGUGAGGGAUGACGGCCUUCGGGUUGUAAACCUCUUUCAGCAGGGACGAAGCGCAAGUGACGGUACCUGCAGAAGAAGCACCGGCCAACUACGUG